GCAGCUGGUGGAGCACAUUUGUGGAACUGAUCGUUCCAAUUUUCGACACAUACUCCUCAUCUCGUUUAAGUACUACUCUUCAACUGGAAGUUACAUCAAAGAAAAACUAGUGCUUUAGCUUAGAUGCUAAAAUCUGUUAUGUCAAUUGCUUGUAACAAUAUUCUUCGUACAUAUGGCUAUGAGGCAGCCAUUGAUGUUGUUUGUAUUGAUCUGUAUCAUGGUAGAUGUUCAACAUGUUUUUUUACUUGUUUCAGAAGUGAUCAGAAAGUUGGGUACGGGAAAUACGGUUUCGAUAGUAAUCAGAAAGUUGUAACUGUCAACAAUGGCAAUGAAUUUGUACCGAAAAUUGGAUAAAAACCUGUAACAGACCAUCUUAAUUUCGCUUCCUACGUGGCUUUUAACUUAUACAAUCGUAACGAGACAUACAAGCCUUGCGAACCGAAACAUCAAUACGACAUCAAACCAAGGCAACAAAUGGACAUCUAUAUAAUUAUUGCUCUAGUAUUUUCACAGACAUGUACAAUUUGGUAGAAGGAACCAUUUUUUGGAGGACUUUUUCCAGAAUG
rnacentral:lncRNA from 1 species